rnacentral:tRNA from 1 species
GCGAACAGUAGUUACAGUGGUAGAACACCACCUUGCCAAGGUGGGGGUCGCGGGUUCGAAUCCCGUCGUUCGCU